CCUCGAGCAAUGUCUCUUAUGAUUUUGUAACGCCUUCCCCAAUCCAAAUUGUCAUGGUUGACAAGAUCUAUAGAAUUAUUCACCUAUAGAGUUGAAAUAUAGCUUGAAAUAGAUUAAGAUAAUUUUCGUUGGCAAAAAGUUGAUAACAAAAAAAAAUCUUCUAUGAACAUUCACUAUGGAAACCAUACCAAAUAAGAAGUGAUCCAGCCUUGAGUUAAUCACGAACUCGUAGAGAAUGAGCAUUUCUCUAUCUUACAAACAAAAUUCAAGAAACCUAACUAAAUUCCAAUGUUGAAGCUUGGUCACUAGCGUAACCUCGUUCUUAAAUUCUAUUUCUCCUUGUCUAGAAUUCAAAGAGAGUCUCUUCACUGCUAUUUCUUGUCCAUUAGGAAGCUUACCUUGAAGAUCAACACUAAUAUGAUAAGUAGAUCAAUUGUCUUUGAAAGAGUUUUUAAUAAUAAGUAAAAUCCUAUAGAGUUUGAAUCUUGAAUUAUCUUGUAAACUACUGUAAAACUGCUUGGACCAAGCUUAUUGAAGUUAUCUGUUGUAAUGCAAAAAGUAUUAAAGUCGUAUUGCAAGGAUUGCAAAACACUGAUUUCAUCUCUUAAUGUACAUUCAUCUAGAGCUUCACAAACAAACCAUAAUAGGUUACCAGAAUGUGCCAAAAAGGGAAAUGAGAAAUGUUCCUAAAACAUAUAUUAGGCUUUUUUCGCUCUAGAGCCCUUCUAUUUACUAUAAUCCUUGCAAUACGACUUUAAUACUUUUUUCAUUAUAACAGAUAACUUCUGUAAUACUAAUAAGCUUGGUCGAGGUGAUUUUGGAGUAGUUUACAAGGUAAUUAAAGAUUCAAACAUUGCAGGAUUUUACUUAUUAUCAAAACUCUUUCGAAGGCAAUUGAUCUGCUUGUCAUUUUAUAUUAUUGAUCUUCAGGGUAAGCUUUCUAAUGGACAAGAAAUAGCAAUGAAGAGACUCUCUUUGAAUUCAAGACAAAGAGAAAUAGAAUUUAAGAACGAGGUUACGCUAGUGACCAAGCUUCAACAUUGGAAUUUAGUUAGGUUUCUUGAAUUUUGUUUGUAAGAUAGAGAAAGGCUCAUUCUCUACGAGUUCGUGAUUAACUCAAGGCUGGAUCACUUCUUAUUUGGUAUGGUUUCCAUAGUGAAUGUUCAUAGAAGAUUUUUUUUUGUUAUCAACUUUUUGCCAACGAAAAUUAUCUUAAUCUAUUUCAAACUAUAUUUCAACUCUAUAGGUGAAUAAUUCUAUAGAUCUUGUCAACCAUGACAAUUUGGAUUGGGGAAGGCGUUACAAAAUCAUAAGAGACAUUGCUCGAGGACUUUUAUACCUCUACGAAGAUUCAAGGCUUAGAAUUGUUCACCGUGAUUUGAAAACUAGUAAUAUUUUGUUAGAUGUUGAGAUGAACCCCAAAAUAUCAGAUUUUGGCAUGACAAGAUUAUUUAUGAUGUAUGAAACUCAAGGGUAUACAAGCAAAAUUAUAGGGACCUACUAAAAUUUUAACUCCAUCUCCACUUUAUUACUUUAAUCCAUAUCUGUUGUUGAUUUCUAAAAAUAUUAUGUUUUGGGUAUUACUUUAUUUUUUACUAAUUAUUCUAUUAAUCACAUUAAUACUUUAAACACUGCAGCAAAUACAUGUCUCCAGAGUAUGCAAGGCAUGGACAAUUUUCAAUAAAGUCAGAUAUUUAUAGUUUCAGCUAUUAGUUUUAGAGAUUGUUAGUGAUUGAAAAAUCACUUGUUUUCAAAAUGGCGAGAACGAAGAUGGCCUAUUAAGCUAUGUAAGUAUGAAUAUCGAUGGAAGGUUAACAAUCACCAUUUUCGAGAUGUAAGAGCUUAUAGAAAAUCUUGAAUGCUUGCAGGCUUGGAAGAGUUGACAAAACGAAAUAAUUUUAAAUCUGAUAGAUCCCGUGUUAAGGUCCGGUUCAAGUUCGAUGAACGAAAUAAUGAGAAACAUCCAUAUAGGAUUGUUAUGCAUUCAAGACUAUGUAGCUGACAAGCCAACAAUGGGUUACAUAGUCUUUAUGCUCAACAGCUUCUCUCAUACUCUUCCAAUUCCUUCAGAACUUGGAGCAACUGAGUCUAGCAAUUCGAAAGGUACUUCUAUUCAUGCAUCGAUCAACGAGACUUCAAUUACUAAAUUAUAUCCUCAAUAAUCGUUGAGAAUAUUACGACCAUUGUAUGUACGAUUUCAUAUGUUCUGGUCGAUUUCUUGCUAGACUUAUCUUUCAUUUAUUAUAUAUCUUACGAAACACUUUUUAUUUAGUUUAUGUGAAUUAUAAUGAAGCUCCAAAAUACAAUGUCCAAAUGUGAUCAUAUUGUCCGAUAAUUUUCAAAGCAAUUUGCUUGUUGGAUUGUAAAAAUCUAAAAAAAAAAUAAUAAUUAAAAAGAAAAAUGAAAUAAUUAAAAAAAAGGAAAAUAUAAAAGGAAAAGGGGGAGGUGCACGGGUAGCCCCCCUCCAAAAAUCGUCUCUCUCUUGAAUUCUACUGGUUUCUUGAGAUCCAAUCGUCCGAUCUUGCAUCCGACUUCAUUUUCACCGUUAAAGUGCCCCCAAUCUACAAGGAGAUAAGUGUUUUGGUAUGAUUUUUGGUGGUUUUUUCGUUGUUUCGCGAGAUGUAUGUAUAUAGGUGCGACUGGGUUUUUGGUCAGAUGUUUAAACUCAGAUCUACGGAGAUCUGACCGUUGGAUUUGGUUAGUUUUGGGGUAUGUUGGUCGAAAUAGUCGAGGGUCCCCCCCUAUCGCCCCAUCGGCAGCCACUCAAUCCCCGUCGUCCCCCACCGCACAACUUUCGCUGCUUGCUUUCGCCACAACCAUAUUCGCCAACGGCUGCUCCGCCAUCACCGUCGUUCGUGCUUCCUUUGUCGCCGCCGAUCUUCCAUGGCCGUGCUUACCGUCAUCGCUGGUGGUGCUUCCAGAUCUCACUUCCUGCGAACGUCGCACCAUCGCGGCCGUGCUCUGCCGCCGCCGCUUACUUCAAGUGCGACCAUGUUCCGCUGUCGACCGCCGUCGCUUGCCUGUUGGAGGAGAGAAAGCAAAUGACCCAGAAACCAACAGUUUUUGUGUAAGCACCCUCGCUCGGAUAUCCCAACCACCCGGUCUAUCCGAAUGAAAGCGCUUACAUAAGGGAAGAGAAAUAAACACAAGACAAAAAUGCCCUAGCAUGCAUACAUAAAAAAAAUACAACAGAAGCAAAACGAUAUACAUGCACGCCCACAAGUACUCUGCUGGAACAGCGGUCAAGGAGUAUAUAAAAAUAUACAGACACCUGUGCCAACAAAUAAAAGAUACAAGAAACAACCCGGCGCAGUAAAAAAUGAGAGACAGAACUCCUAACAAAACAUCAGAGACAACGAGGGCAAGUUAAAUGUACACCCUACCGACACGAAUUGCUGCUAGGUGGAAUGAUCCUCGCCCUCAGCCUUCGCUUUACCCUUACUUGGAAUGAUGGAAAGUAAGGUGAGUCGCAAGACUCAGCAAGUUAUAAGAAAGGGAAGGCUAUAAAUUAAACAGAAGAUGAGAUCACCCCUAACACAGUCCCGCACGUACACACAAGUCAUGUGACGUAACAAUACAACAAUGUAGCAUAAUAAAAGCACAUACCGGUCCUUGGGGCCCAUAUAAGACACCUGGCACCUAAGUUCCAUACCAACCUGCCGCUGCCUUGAAAGGUAACAUAGAUCUCCAACAAACCUGCACGCGUUGUCCCGGAUCGGUACUCCUGUCACUCGUAUCCAUGUCGGUACUCCCGACACCCGAGCCAUAGGCUCCCUUGGAACGGUACUCCCCUCCGAGAACUAAAUACUACUAGUAACCAUGCAAUGCACAUAACAAUGCAAUGGCGUAGUGAGCAUCAACGUGAUACACUGGCGCCCAUACAUCCAGGCAUCAAGCCAUGUUUCGCUCAUAUAGUAAACCACACGCGAUGCAUAUGCCCGUGCUGGAUGCAUCAUAGUCAAGCUAAGAUGUCCGUGACCAAGCAUAACCAGAUCAUGAAAACCCCAACAUGCAGCCCGUACCCAUGUGCACACCAAAACAUGCAACAAGAAUAAAACGAUACCAGUCAUGCUACAAUCACGUAAUGGCAGAGCUAGUCAACAGUGCUUGGCACCGGUUAACGGUCAGUGGAUAGGAGAGACCAGCCGGUGGCCUAAGAUAGAUCAUACGACAGUCACUCUGUCACUGAACAACUGAUCCUUGCCCCCACUGCACAAUUGCUCUAGCCUAUAAACAAUAAAAAAUCCAUAAUAAUACUCGAUCAGAUAAGAACCUAGCCUCGGGUGAGUACGACAUUAUUCCCAUAGGCUUGGGGGUGGCACAAACCCCCGUAGGCAACCAACGAAUAAAAUCAUCGAGACCAGCUUAAUAAAUUAAAUUUUAAAACAACCUGGUUAAAAUUCCACAAUUUAUUAAUAGCUGAAACAAACGAAGGGAGGUCAAAUAAAUUGACAACGAAAGAAACGUUGAGGAGGGCAUAAAGACCUUGCCUUUACGAAGAUAUCCUUAGGCUUGUUUUGACCUAACGCAGUAAAAAUUAUAUAAACUGUAACACCCAAAUUAUUUGCCAAAAUUAACAAAAUUGGACUCAAAACGAAAUUCCGACCAUACAGAAUAUUUAUUACUAGCUUGUCUACAUACUAGGCAAAUUAAAUCUUGAAUUAAACUGGAUUUAAUCUGAAUUUUCCACCCAAAUCUCCCAAUUUUUCUCCCGCGCGCACGCUGCUUUUCUCCCAAUUUCUCUGGCUGUUCUGAUGCAAUUAAAAGCGCCCGAGUUGGGCUUAAUUUGAAGCAAAAAGGAGCAGAUGUGAGGGAGCCACGUGACAGCGCUGGAGCAGCUGCUGGGGAGGCCACCGCCUCACUGAAACGACAUCGUUUCGGAUGCCUUUGGCUGAUUAAAAUCAGCCAAAUUUCCACAACCCCGCGCUCUCGCCCGCGGUUUCGAACCCGCGUUCGCUGCUUGGCCACCUUGCGCGCGACCGCUCGCGCCUGCACGCCACCUUCAACAUAUAUACACCUUACAUUAUAUUUAAGGUGACUUUUCGGCCCUUUCUAAAAUUCGCACCAGUACCCUCCAACUUCCAUUAUUUACACCCCCCCCAUUAAUUAAUUACACUAACGCCCGAAACUUCUAAAAAUCCCACAAUUUAAUUUAUUUCAAUUUUUUUCUUAUUCCAGAAAUAUUCUAAAAUAACAUAAUUUAUUAUCCUAAUUUCUUAUUUUCUUAAAACAUAAAAAAUUAUUAUUUUUAACAACAAAUUAUGUUAAUAUUCCUUUUUAAUUUUGAUUAACACAAUAACUCAAUAAUUAAAUUAAUUUGCUAUUUAUGGUCGCUACAUUUCGUCUCUAUCUUUCUCCAGUUUUUGCAUAUAUAUUUUGCUUAUGGCUUUGUUUUUGAUCUCCAUAUGCAGAGUCUAGGUGUGUUUUCGUCUAUCCACAUCUCUGAUUGGAAGAGAGUGUUUCUAGGGUUCGAAGAAAAACAAUCAUGUAUGUACGAUUCAGCGAUAGUUUUCGCAUAUUGGUUAAUGGGUAUAUGGCGAUUUGUGGAUUUUGGCUUCUCCGUAUGUUCCUCGCAGAAUAGGUUACACGGAAAAUAAUUGGCUAUAGUUAUUUAGAGUCUAUUUCUUCUCCACUGUGUAGGAUGAGGCUGAUGGCUCCAACGAAUACAAUGAUUUCCAGUGAGGGUCUCUUAACACUAGAAGUAGCUUAUUAGAGACUUGGAGAUAUUUGUUAUGCAAAUGGAUAUAUUUCCCAGUGGGAUCAAUUUACUGCACAGAUUGAGCCUAUUGUUUCUACUGUACCUUACAUGAUUGCAAGGUCUGUUGAAACUUUAUGAGAGAAAAUUUUUGGAGGAUGCAAACAUCUCCCAUUUAUUGUGUGGUAACUGAUGAUUUGUCCCUUGCCGCGGUAACCAUGAGCGUGAUUGGCCUGGAACAGGUUCCUUUUAUGAGAACAAGGAUUCAGGAGGAGAAUGUGGCGUGCUAGCUGAGACAAUGUUCUAUGUUCCUGCUGAGAAUAGGGCUAAAUUCUAGUAUGAGAAUAUCGUGAUAACAACCAGUUAAAAUUAUAUGAAUCUUUUUUGGGUUCAUAUGCAUAUACAUAGGCAUAUGUUUUCAUCUUUUAAUUAGUUCAACAAUCUUUAACUUUUAGCCUUCUACCACUUGCUAAGUUUCCUCUGAAUUCUUCAAUAAUGAUUUGUGAAUUUUGUAGGAACAAGUAAAAGAUCUUAAGAUAUUAGCACGAAUAUUCGUAAGCACUCUCACAUAAAUUUGUUGCGAUCCAGAUUAUAAGUAAGCAUUGUAGGAUCAAAUCACUAAAGCUUUGAAGUUCAUAAUAUUAGACCAACUUAGAUUUUGGACUCUGUGAUAAUGCGGCACUGUAGUGGAGGAUAAUUGUCAGUAUGAGUAUUUUAUAUCCAUUUGUAACAAUCUGUUGGGCUAUUGAGGAUAAUUGUCACACUGCCAAAGGCAUUUCAUAAUUGUCGAUUUUUUUCCCAUUUCGUUUUUCAAUUCUGAUUUGUGUUAUUUGAUUAUGGUUGAAUUCAGUUCAUUCACUAACUUCAUCUGACUGUUAUUUCAUGUGUCAACUCUAGAUUUUUGGAAUAAGCUAAUUUUUUAAUUACAUGUAAAAAUGGGACUAGAAGAUUAGCUUAUGGUAUCUAUCUGUUGCUAGGGUAUGGAAUUAUAUGAGGAAUGCAUAUUUGUCCCUUAAUAGAUUUCUGUAAAUGUCCAAGUUGCUUCCACAAUCAUCGAUUUCUUUUUAUGAUACAGGCCACCUAUUUUUUGUUUUUGUUUUCGAUCAAUGAGAGUUAAAGUUUCCAGGAAAAUAAAAAUAAUAAUAGCACAAUCAAUCAUAGUGGUGCUCUAUAUAUGUAGUUUGUAUUUUCCAUGGGAUUGCCUGCCAACAGGAGGAACCUGGUGUCGGUGGUGGCCACUGCAAAAAUCGGGAAGGGAAGGUACGGACGACCCUAAAUUUUGUUAAUUAAUUAUUGGACUAAGUCUCCAUACUGUACCAUACCAUGCUAUACAUGGUUCUUUUUCUUUCUUUUGUGGCUGUCUUUUUGAAUUUUCUCCCUCUCAGAUUUUGUUGCUAAUACUGUUUGCUUAGAUGUAAUUAAUUGUAUUAUUAUAUCUUCAAAAAGGAAACUUCUUGGAACUUUUCAAAUUAUUUAUUUAUUUUUUUAAAAUUUGAUUAUGCAAGUUCUAAUUUCUGAGUAAAUAAACUUAAUUACUCAAAAAGAGGAUCUCCAAACAUCCUAAUCAAAUUGGCAUGCAUGCUCAUGGGGGUUGAGAAUAGACUUUAAUUAUUUGCAUGCUCGAGGAUGACAAUUAACAUUCAAGUGGUUAAUUAUAUAUAUAGUAAUUACAUUACAUGCUGUGUGGGUACAACUGCCUUAAUUUGCUUCUCCUUGAUAAGGAAUAUGCCCUGAAAGCUACACUACUCCCAUUUAGAACAGGAACAGGCAUGCCAAUAUACCAUGCCAUUGCCAUUCAUUAACGUGGCUGCAACUUUAAGUUAACUCGGGUUUGGGUUAGAUGAUGAUGAUGAUGAUGAUGUGUAGUUUUCAGGUGUUGGUAAUGAAGAAGAUCUAUUAUUCACUCCAAACCUUCAAGACUCAGUGCCCCUUCUGAAUAAUAAAUAAAUAUGUUCUUUAUUUGAUGCAUAGAAUAGGUGGUGUUAAAAAGGAGCGCAAUUUAACUUAUAGGUUGUUUCAGGAGUUCAGAGGAUUUCAAUGUUUACAUGGCUUGAAUUUUGUAUGGAUGAACUCAGAUCUAACUCUCUGCUGAUUGGAUCUGAAUUUUUGAUAUGUGAAAUUGUCAUUAAUGCAUAUAUUUUAUCUUCUAGAUUUGUAGUUUGUUUUAGGAGUUCAGAAGAAUCUAACGUUUACAGUCUUGAAUUUUGUGUCAUUGUAUGGAUGGGUGCAGAUUUCGUUUUGAUGAUUUAGUGUCUUUUUCUUCUGCCUCCCAACUCAAGCCGUUGGUUAAUAAUUUUAAUAAGUCGGAGUCUGCUCUUGAUUAUUCUCAAGGUUACCUUCCCCCAUUUUCUAGGGUUUCUUUUUCUUCGUCUAUGAUUGAUCGUUAUUUACUCUAUUUUCAAUCAGAUUCAUUUUAUUUUUUGAUUCAAGCUUAUUGUUGAGUCAUGUCAAUUGUUUGAUAAGAUUAUUCUCUCUUUUUUGUUGCCGGGUGGAGGAGGUUUAGUAUUUAAAUUUUUAAAAAAAAUGAAAUAAUACCCAAUGACUGAUUGUUUCCUUAUGAAUGGGAUUGUAGUUUUCGUGGGCAUUGUAUAAUCUUUUUCUUUUUGUUUUUUUAGUUUUUGUCAGUUUUGGUUUUUGUAUGUGAUGUGCCCUAUGUUGAUGAGAUGAGAUUAUGUUGUUGAUGAUGCAGAAGAAGAUGUGCAUUUGGGUGUUGCACAUCAGAUGUACAAGGCUGGAAAUUAUAAACAAGCUCUGGAGCACUGCAAUGCUGUUUAUGAGAGCAACCCACUGCAUUUAUAUUAUCAGCUACGUGAUUU